UCUCUUCGCCUUCCUCCCGUCUCUCCGCUCCGCUCCGCACCUCCCGGCCGCGCUCCUCUCCCCUUCUCCCCGCCGCGCUCCGGUCGCCUCCGCUGCCGCGCUUCCCUCGCGCCGCCACGCGCUAUACAAGGAGGAAACUUUCGCCGGCGAGGCUGGAUCCGAUGGCUGCGAGGCCGGAUUCGGUUGGCGUCGUCACAGUGCUCGAAGGGGAGGAGGGGGAGCAGGGGCCGGCGCCGCCGCAGCCCGAGGAGCAGGACCAGAACCCCAAUCCGGUGGCGGCGGCGCUACGCCGAUCUUCUCCUCCGUCGUCAUCUUCUCUGGAUCCGAACUAACUGUCGAGGAGCUUCUGGAUAGGCUGCUUAAACGGCUAUUGUACAUUCAAGACUGAGGAGAGGAGCAGCGGCUCAAGGGGAGGAGGUGCAACGCCUCAAGGCGGUGGCGAUGAUGAGGAGUAGCGCCUGAAGGAGCACUGAUUCUGAUUGGGAGUAGUACAAUAUUUAUAUCUGCAAUUCAUAUCAAGAUAAGUACUCUUACUGUACUCUAUCUUUUCCUUGUACAUCUUUUAAUUAACACUAUGCCGCUAUGCAUGUUGUAAACCUCACUUUUUGAUUGCUGAAUAUAUAUGCAUGUUGUAAACCUCACUUUUUGAUUGCUGAAUAUAUAUGCAUGUUGUAGACCUCAAUCUCAAUCUCUCUUCUCUCUAUAUGCAUGCUGAAUAUAUAUGCAUCCUCUCCUCUCAAUCUCUCUUCUCUCCUCUCAAUCUCAUCUCUCCUCUCCUCUCUCAUCUCAAUCCCUUAAUCUCUUCUUAAUCUCUCUUCUCUCAAUCUCAAUAUAUUCCCUUGUCUCCUCUCAAUCUUUUGAACCUAAGUUUAAACUUAUUUAAAUCCGAACCUAAGUUUGAACUUAUGUAAAUCAAAAUCUAAACCUGAAUCUGACUGAACUUAAAACUGUAUCUUGACAUCUCAAUCUUUCUUCUCUCCUCUCAAUCUCUCUAUCUCUCUCUUCUAUCUCUCUCUAUUUCUUAAACCUGAACUUUAAAAUCUAACCUGAACUUUAAAAUCUGAAUCUAACCUGAACUUAAACUUUAAAAGCUGAAUCUAACCUGAACAUAAACUUUAAAAAUCUGAAUCUAACCUGAACUUAAACUUUAAAAGCUGAAUCUAAAACUUUAAAAGUGAACUUUAAUUAACUGAAGCUUAACUGAACUUUAGUUAACUGAAUUUAACACUGGCGCAACAGCUUCUCAUCUCAUCUCUUCAACUCUCAACAAUGACAACUAUAACAGCAAUGAAAAAUACAACAGCAAUAACAAUAUGUUCUCUUCUCAUCUCAUCUGUUCUACUCUCAACAAUGACAACUAUAACAGCAAUGAAAAAUACAACAGCAAUAACAAUAUGUUCUCUUCUCAUCUCAUCUGUUCUACUCCUAAUGCAACAGUUCUUCUCAUCUCUUCUCAUCAAUGGUUCAGCAAUGCUAAACUUUUAUGGUAGAGGUCAGCAUCACAGUCUAGAGAAGUAUCUAACGUCCCUUCCCUCUGCAUUCUAUUCUUGUUCAUGUGCUGGAUCUUAUAUCCAUUGCCACCUUCUUUCAUAACCUCCAGCAUACAUGAUUGGAGUGUUAUGAAAACUCUGGCCAACUUGUCCACUUCGUAUCCAGGCCUUGCAACUGCCGUUAGAAACAUAACUUUCCUGAUGCUGUUCUUGUUCUGAACAGUGCGCAAGGGGCAUGAUUCUAUAGGAUCGAGAUAAUAGGUGGCUUUCUUCUUCGUCAUAUCAAACCAUUUUUCAUCAAUAUGGACAAUGUUGGUCAUGUCUUUAAAAGUAGGCCUUGCAUUUCCAAGUGUGUCCUCAUCCAACAUUGAGACACAGAAUUUCAAUCUCGCAAUCUUGUUUGCUGGCUUAAGUGUGGGCUUUAAGCUGCUAGUGCGGCGCAUUAUCAAUCCCCAUUUGAACCUUCUGUACAAUGCUGAACAGCUAACAUCCAAAGCCCUAGCUAGCGCCCUUACUGUUCUUCUUCUGUUUAGUGGUAUUGUAGCAACUAGAUGAUGCCCCGCACGUUGUUGCAAAAUUUUUUAGUUAAUAUACGUGCAUGAACGAAAUUGAGUACAGCAACGAAAGAGUAUCCAAAACUCAAAACAUAGAAUGAAAUUGUGUGAUAAAUUCUUCACAUAGUGAGGAUAUCAUGAUAGAAAAUAUCAUGCAUGCAUGUGCAACAAAUAUGAGUUUCUCACUAAAUAGGUGUGAACAUAUUAAUGAUAUGAUGAUGUGGCAUGCUUGUAUGUUGAGAGAAAUCAAGUAGUGGGUUUCUCCUACUUAGAUAUAGAAGAUUCUAGAGAGACCAAGGUCAGCUCUUUUACGACCUACUUUACCCUUUUUUUGGUUAGAAAGAUCGACAGGUAAACCUUGUGCAAUAUGCUCAUGUGCUAAUUUCCAUAUUCUCUCAACUGUUCUAACAGAUGUAUCCAAAAGACGAGCAACAUGCUCCUUGUCCUUUAAGAGUAUUUCUCCAUCUAUGCUGAGUGCCUUCAAUGCAAUAUAAGCACCAAAUAUGUGUUCAUCAGGCAGUUCCCUUCGUUGUCGUUGUUGAGCACCUGCAAAGGACCAGAAGAUAAGUUCUUCAUAUAAUGCCUCUAUUUGCCGUACAAUACUCCAUUUCAGAAAAAAACAUGCAUGUGCUAAUUUGAUGUCUAUACAUGGAGAACUUGAUGUAGUUACAUGAUGUGUGUAGAUGGAGAACAAAUCUGAACAAUAACAUGCACAUGCUCUAUUCUGAACAAUAAUCAUCACAUGCUGUAGUUAAAUUAUGAAAUUGUGUGUGCAUGUUCUAUUCUGAACAAAAAUCUAUAGGAACAAUAGUUUGAUGAACAAGAACACAAAUCUAUAGGAACAACACAGUAAUUUGCUUUGUUCUGUACAGUAUUUGAUCUUGUUCUGUUUCAGGAGUUACCUGCUGCUUCAACAUCAACAUCUUCAUGAGGAGUGCAGUUCAGAUCUGGUAUGGGCAUGUUUCCUUCUGCAGUUGUAUCUUGUUGAGAUGAGGAAUGGUGACCGGCACAGCAAAGGCAGAGACAGAGCUAAAUCCUUCCAUGAUGUUUCUGCUUGUUGCUGAAAUUGGCCUGAGAUGAGGAAUGGUGACCGGCGCAGCAAAGGCAGAGGCAGAGCUAAAUCCUUCCAUGAUGUUUCUGCUGUUGCUGAAAUUGGCCUGAGAUGAGGAAUGGUGACCGGUGCAGCAAAGGCAGAGGCAGAGCUCUGCCUGAGAUGGGGGAAGGUGGCGGAGCCCGCAAAGGCAGAGGCAGAGCUCUGCCUCAGAUGCGAGAAGGCAGAGGUGAUUUUCCCUGGGCGACGGCAGGCGAGAGGCGACGGCAUCGGGCGGCGGGCGAUGGCAUCACGCUCCUGCCGGCUGAUCUCGAUGUUCCUCCUUUGAUCUGAUUGAUUGAUCUGUUAGAAGGGGCUGGAGAUGGCUAGCGGCAGGGCUGGACUGGAGAUACCUGGAGAGGGCUGGAGAUGGCGACUUGGAGAGGGGAAAGGAGCAGGCGAUCUGGACUGGCGGAGGCGACCUGGGCUUGCGAAGGAGACAAGUUUUGAAUUUGAAUCCCGUAGUCUACCUUUCUGGACUGUAAUUAGUUUAAUUCCCAGGACGUUUUUGUAAAAUGACAUAUGUGAAGUGCCUGCGACAUCUAUUUCGGUACGAACAUCGGUGUGCUGCAUGCCUGAUUCAGUAAUCAUCGAUGACGCACUUUCCAAUGACUUCUGCAGAAGUCAAGGGCCGUGCUCAUUUUUUUUAAUAAUGUUAUUUGUUAUUAUACAGAUUAUACA